GGGAUUGAGAAGCUUGCUCUUCAUGAGAGUGGCGCACGGGUGCGUAACACGUAUGUAACCUACCUUAAUCAGGGGGAUAGCCUCUCGAAAGAGAGAUUAACACCGCAUAAAAUCAAUUUAUGGCAUCAUAGAAUGAUCAAAUAUUUAUAGGAUUAAGAUGGGCAUGCGGAACAUUAGCUAGUUGGUAAGGUAACGGCUUACCAAGGCUACGAUGUUUAGGGGAUCUGAGAGGAUGACCCCCCACACUGGUACUGAGACACGGACCAGACUCCUACGGGAGGCAGCAGUAAGGAAUAUUGGUCAAUGGGCGCAAGCCUGAACCAGCCAUGCCGCGUGCAGGAAGACGGCCCUACGGGUUGUAAACUGCUUUUGUACCGGAAUAAACCUUUGUAUGUAUACGAAGCUGAAUGUACGGUAAGAAUAAGGAUCGGCUAACUCCGUGCCAGCAGCCGCGGUAAUACGGAGGAUCCAAGCGUUAUCCGGAUUUAUUGGGUUUAAAGGGUGCGUAGGUGGCCUAUUAAGUCAGGGGUGAAAGACGGUAGCUCAACUAUCGCAGUGCCUUUGAUACUGAUGGGCUUGAAUACACUAGAGGUAGGCGGAAUGUGACAAGUAGCGGUGAAAUGCAUAGAUAUGUCACAGAACACCAAUUGCGAAGGCAGCUUACUAUGGUGUCAUUGACACUGAGGCACGAAAGCGUGGGGAUCAAACAGGAUUAGAUACCCUGGUAGUCCACGCCCUAAACGAUGAGCACUCGAUGUUGGCGAUAUACGGUCAGCGUCUAAGCGAAAGCGUU
rnacentral:rRNA from 1 species